GGGGUGGAUACCUGUGUGGGCAUAUGAAUGUGAGUGUAGGUGUCCUCAGAGGCCAGAGAUAUCAGGUCUCCUGGAGCUGAAAUUGCAGGCAGACCUGAACCUCCUGAGUGGGCUCUCUGGGAAAUUAUCUUUAGUCCUUUGCAAUAGCAGUCUGAGCCCUUACCUGAUGACCUGUUUUGCCAGCCCCUCUGUUUAGGAGUACAAACCUUCACUUACUGAAUAUUUAAUGUUUCAGGAGAUUUGUUUCAAAAUUGGAUAACUUUGAUAAUGAUGGUUUUAGGAAUUCUUAGAACAGAUAAAUCACAAUUAACAUGGUCCCCAUCAAGCUCAAAUCUAUUAAUAUUGAGACAGAAUAAAAAUUUAAAUGUUGAAUGUGUCUGCUUUGGUGAGCGAGAGUUUUAAAAAUACAUGAGUAUCAAACGCAAGCAUUCUCCUGGCCUCCAUGAAAAUGCCAGUGUAGUCAGUAAUGGACCAUAUCACCACUAAUUUUCAUCUUUUCUCUUGCUUCUGGGUUUUAUUUCCUUAUUAAAAUGUAUAAUUAAAAGUUUCCUUUUGCUUUUUCUUCUAAAAGAUAAAUGAAAUUAACACAAUUUCACUAUCCUUCAAUCUACCAAGCUUCUCCUGAUUAGUAUGCUAGCCAUGGCAGCAUUUUAUAAUUCGCAGUUAUUGGCGGUUUUCAAAAGCUUUCCCAUCUUUUUGUCUGGCUUGACCUUUUAACAGAUAAACAUGACGGAUGUUAAGCAUCUGAAGGAGAGUAGGGAGAGACAAAGGCUUGCCUGAUUACUUCUGGUCUGAAAAAACACCCAUUGCCCCUUUACUCCCCUCUUGACACCUCCAUCGGUGUUCUUAAUGUCUUCCAAUUUCUCAUUUUCCAAAUUGAAUUUUCCCUUUAUCUUGAUAAUUUAUUUCAAUAAGGGACCCUGAACUUGUUCCAGUAGCUUUUCUAACCCCAAAUAAAACAACAAUCAAGACAGUCACUGAAUACGUUAGGCGAAUUAAGGACCUCACAUUAUUGGUGUUGUUGAGCCGGGGUCCCACUAUAAAGAGGUCUCCCUAUGAGACUCCUAACCCUUUGCCUCAACCUUCUGAAUGCUGGGAAUACAGAAGUGUGUGAGCAAACCUGCCUAACCUGUUAGUAUGUUAAAAAGGUUCUAUAUGCCAAGUUUCUCUAUAGUCUACUUUUGGAUUUGGACUUAGAAGAUUAUUCUAUUUACUGUAAUUAAAAAAAAAUCCUCACUUGUUACUUCUACAGGAGUCAUGUGUGUGUUCCUAAUUAGUAAGGAUCUUCCUUGACAUCAUGGUUCAGGGACCCAGGCUGUCCUUCCAACCUGUUUUCCCCACAGUGAAAACUUAGACAGUGAGAUGGCAAGAGCUGUACAACUGUGGAGAUAACGACGCUCCCUGCAGAGCUGGACCACCAGGUGAGAUGAUUUCCGUAAGUAUCAUCUAACCAGCAAAAUUGAUGCCACACACAGCAAUAAUGAAAGAAUUCCUAGGAGGGAUCCUCACUGUUGAUUUUUGAAGCACAUUAACUUCAAAAAUCAAAUUUGAAUGCUGCAGAUUAGAAAAAAGAAAAUUUCACAUCUGUACCAGACAGGUGACUUGUUAUAUCAGAUGCUGUUACUGUGAGGAUCAAAUCAGAGGCCUUAUCUGAAAGUGACUGGUAGAUUCUAGAACCUUUCAGUGGUGUGUGCUGUCCUUGGAAGCACUAUGGGACUGCACCUACUGACAAUUCACGAUGCUGGCUUGUUAGCUACAGGUGAGACGUUGGGGAUUUACUCAGUUUAUACCUGGUUAUCUACAUGCUCCAAAACAGGGGAACCUCUCUGAGAACAUCUCUGCCUGUCUACACACAGUCAGUCACCCAGGCUUUAGGCAAUAGGAACAUAGACCCAUAAGACAUGACUUGAUGAUUUCUCAUCAGACACCUCUGUUUAUCUCUCUGACUCUGGAAGAUACCAGCAUGCUCUCAUGCAGGUUUCCAGAUUAUUAAGAAGGUCAAAUUCUACCUUCAUAAAAAUAAUGGGGGAAAAAGAGAGAAGAACGGUGAAGUGUGACCCAGGUUGGUUUUGCCCUUUAUUAUCAUAGUUUCAUGUACAGUAGUGGAUUCUUUCUUAGGAAAUAAAUCAUCUGUCUCUUGGAUGGUGUUUGUGCCCUCCUUGGAGCAUAAGCUUAUGAUACAGACUGAGUGCUUAUCUGAGUUUUUCACUUAUUUGAGGGGAACUACUUCUGAGAAAUAAGCCUGUCAUAGAAAAUGAAUAUAUUUCUCUGCGGAGGAACUAAGCACAACUCUAUUAUAUAGUAGGGCUACGUCUUAUAAAAAUGCAUGUUAGAAAUAUGAAGCCAUAAAUAGUGGAAAUAACCCAUACACUCCCAGAAUAACAAAGCAGGAGGAUAGUCUAAGAGGAAGCAACAAAGAAGACUUCUAAAAACAUUUAUUUAUUUACUUAUUUUUAUUUACUGUGCAUGUGUUCCUAUGUAUAUGAACACACACACACACACACACACACACACACACACACACACACACACACACACACAGUGUGAGAUGCUCAGAGGACAACUUGCAGUAAAUGGUC
rnacentral:lncRNA from 1 species